AUACAUGCUUCGGCUGUACCUGUACUAAAAUUGGAACGAUACAGAGAAGGUUAACAUGGCCCUGCGCAAGAAUGACAUACACAUUCGAGAAGCGUUCCAUAUUUUU